UCCUAAUACAGGGAGGUAGUGACAAGAAAUAACAAUACAGGGCCUUUCGGCUUUGUAAUUGGAAUGAGUYGAGUAUAAACCCCUUUACAAGUAUCAAUUGGAGGGCAAGUCUGGUGCCAGCAGCCGCGGUAAUUCCAGCUCCAAUAGCGUAUAUUAAAGUUGUUGCAGUUAAAAAGCUCGUAGUUGGAUUUCUGCUAAUACUCUAUGUAAAUGCUUUGCCUUUACAU
rnacentral:rRNA from 1 species